AAUGCAUAUUUCAGGCCGAACAUUUCAAAUAGUCCUAACUGACAUUUUUCAACAAUUUGAGUUAUUAGUGUAUUCUAGUAGAAUUACAUGUAAUCUAACGGAAUAAAUUGCAAAAAAAUAUAAUUAUUUAUUUUUGCUAUAAAAUUAUAGGUAAAAUCAUAUCGACCAAUCUGCAUUUUCUAUAAUAUCGCCCAACUCUGUUGGUUUGGACGUUUUGCAGCUUGACAGUCCAAUCUGACAAAAUGUCAAAACAAUCAGAAAACGCAGAUUGGACGUUUGGUAAAACAGGGAAAAUAAGUUGAUUUUUCAGUAUUUUUGUAAGUUUUAAAAUAAAACCGAGUUAAUGCAGGUUUCUUUGACCAAUCCGACAUUGUGCUGUUAUUGUUUGGUUUACAUGACAUCCGGGGAACAGAUUGUUCAACAACGAACAACCAUCGGGGGAUCUCAUCUGUGAUGAAUGCGGAUAGGGAUAUGUCCUAGAUAUACCAACGGUAUCGCAGGAUGCACUACGCCACAGUCAAGUUAUGUCACGAUUCCGGUGCUUAUUCUGAUGUGGAACGCAGACAAACGGCACCAAUGCAACCACUGAGCAGCAAUCGGUCGAAGCUUCAA